rnacentral:lncRNA from 1 species
GCUCACUGCAGUUUCAAACUCCCAGGCUCAAGCGAUUCUCCCACUUCAGCCUCCCAGGUAGCUGGGAAUACAGGUGACAACACGCCUGGCUGGGAAUACAGGUGACACCACGCCUGGCUAAUUUUUUUUUUUUUUUUUUUUUAGUAGAGAUUAGGUCUCACUAGGUUGCCCAGGCUGGUUUCAAACUCUGGAGCUCAAGUGAUCCUCCUGCCUCAGCCUCCUGAGUAGCUGGAAUUACAGGUGUGAGCCAUUGUACCCAGCUUGAAAGUGCCCUUUUAUUUCUUUCCUGCAGUGACCCCUGACACCCAGCCAUCAACUAGAGGCUGUUCCCCUACUGCCACCCCCUGCAGCCUGCCUACUGGUUUUAUAAGUUCUGGAAGCUUUGAAGUCCAAGAUGAAGGUGGCAGCAGCUUGAGUGUCUGGGUCCCCAGUUUGAAAUGUCUUGUUACUGCUGACAAGACCUGCAUGACUGACCAUUUGCUCCCUAAGAGAUGAAAACUGACAUUGCUUUGAAGUUCAAAAUGACAUUGCCAAAACAAGAAGAAAUGGAAAAUAACUGCAGCACGUUUAUGACAUUCGUUUCUUUCUCCACAUGAAACAUACAAUGAGAACACUUUAUAGAUGAAUUGUGUCUUCGAUUGAAUAGAGAAUGGUGGACUAGCUUUGGUUUUAUGGAAUUGGAUAAUUUGUCAUAGUUUCUGUCCCUGGAAAAAUGAGAACCCAAAGGAAAACAAGUGGAAAGCCUUUAAAAAAUAGUGAUAUAAUACACAGCUGAUAUUUUUGGUUCAUAGAAUACUUUAAAGUACAUCAUUUACAAAGCAAAUUACUAAAUUAUAAGAAAUGCUGUCAUCAUCAAUAAACAUUCACAGAGCUUCAGGUUUUAACACAAAGCAUUCCUCAUAUUUCAGGUGAUAUUAUUUAUGAAAAAAUUACUUGGAGAUUGCUCCAAGGUUAUCACAUUCUUUUCAAACCAUCAAUUCCCUAUUAUUAUUUACUAUUAUUAGUUAUUAUUUAUAAAUACAUAUGAAUACACAAUGAAAGCAUGCUUUAUGUAUAGCAUAUAAAUAUAUUUGAACUUUACUUUCCCCACAUACUAUCUAUCCUGCAAUAUUACACCACCAGUAAAAGAGUAUCUAAAUAUUAAUUGCUCCUAUCACAAUAGUGGAAACUAGAAGAGAUAAGUUUUCCCAAAUCUGAGUAGAAAACCAUGGUUAGCGGAUAUCCAUUUGUCCAUUUACGGAAUUAUAGCAAUAAAAUCCAGCCAAUAAUUUUUAGUUUGCUUAUUAUGUAGUGGCAAAACAUAAUGUCUUUUUCUCACCCAUUACAAGGGUCACAGCUGACAUACCUAUAACAAAAACCAGAUGAACAAGAAAAAUGCAUAAUGUGUUCAUUUAAUAAAGUUUUAAGUGACGUGGGAGCCUUCAGAAAUGCAGACCCAAACCCAGGGAAAAUUUUGAAUUUGUAUGCUUCUGAAGAAAGAAGUGAAUAGUUGUGGAGAAACGUGAUUCGACAAAAAGAGUAUGACCUAAUGAUAAUAAACUGUAGAGAAUUUAGCAAAGCCUGUCUCUUCAGAUUCUUCUCGACCUUGCUGUGUAGCAUACCUUCCCCCCAUAUAAGGAAGAACAACUGCCAGAAAAGGGUCUUCUGAUCUAUUUUCUGGUAAAAUAGGUCAGAGUGACCCUUUUAGGUUUUACGGCUUGCUGUGAGGUCAAAGAAUUCUAAUUUCUAUGGGCCGCCUUGGGAGAGAGGAGAGCUGGAGAAAGGAGAGUGAGAGAAGGUCAGAGGGGCCUUCCUUCUGAGGCCCUUCCAGUGCCCUUCAGUUCAAAGUACUCUGCAUGCCAAGACACCAUAUAUUGGGGUAUAAUGUUUUGAGUCCUAGCAGUUAAUAAUAUAAUAUUUUUCAAAAAAUCUAGAGAAGAAUUUAUUUCAUAAUGUUACUAACCAGUUUUUUAAAGUCAAAUUUGAAAAUGAUGCCAAAAAUUAUACUGAUUUUUUUUCUUCAGAUAAUUGUGAAAUUCUACUGUGUCUUCUCUUUAAAGAUGAAAAAAUAAGAUAAAAAACAUGAGCUGGGCAUGAUGGUGUGCCUGUAAUCCCAGCUACUUGGGAGGCUGAGGCAAUGCAGGAGGAUCACUUGAGCCCAGGGGUUCCCAGACUAACCUGGGAAACAUAGUGAGGCCCUAGCUCAGAAACAAAACAAAACAAAAAACUUCUAAAAUGCGUAAAUUUGCUUUCAAUAUCAGUAUCAGUUCAGUUGGAGGGGAAAUUCUUAAAAAUCUCAUAAAUAUUGGUACAAGAGCCUUUCUACUUCCUUCUCUUUGAAAAAUUAGUAAACUGUUAGGUUACAAAAACUGAAAAGUCUGGGUUUGAUCAACACAGGUCUCUGUUGAUCAAUCAAUAACAGAUUGAAGUUAUUCUGGAAGAGUUGUGCCUGUCAUACAUUGUCUUAUUCCAACAUCUCCUGAAGUUGUCAUUUGGAAAAUUAUUAAAAAGGAUAUAGUUUCUGUCAAUUCAGUUGAUAUUUUAAGAUGAUGUAUUAUUAUUAUUUAAUUUUUAUUUAUUAUUAUUGAAAAUUAUUAUUUAAUUUUUUUGUCUCUGUCUUAUAUGCUAAUUUAAAUUCAUUAAGCCUACACCAAUCUUAAAGGAAAAGCUGAUAUUAAGCAAUUUCUUCAGUACUCUUUGGAUAUAACUCUUUGUCUAGCUGAAAAACCUACAAUUAACCCUGGGCCAUUUCACCGCUGUGAAGAUUAAAAUUACUUUUGGAUAUAUUCAUUAAGUAUUUUCUAUAUUUAGGUUAUAGAGUCUCAAUCUUUUUUUUUUAAUUAAAAAACCCUCUUUAAGUAUAUUUUUGUUCUAAUUGUCAAACUAACCACUUAUGCCCUAAAUAACAUCAAUGAAAAAGAAUUACCUCAAAAAAUUUGUAAUUCAGGUGAGCAAUAAUUGACCUAUGGCCAUUUGCUGGAAACCAGGCAAGAUACAAUUCAGCCUUUCUUUCCAAAAGGCAUAAGAACAUACUAAAUUGCAAAUAUCGUAGACCAGACAUCUAUCCUAUUUUGACAUUAAUAUCAAGGAGUUUAUUUUACAAUAAACCUUACGUCAGUUGCCUUCCAUGUUAUUUGUCUCAAAAUAUUAGGCUAUCUAAGCUACUUUUCUUCCGAAGGAGCUCUGAGACCUCCAGGGAAACAAAGUACACUUUAAUCUCCUCUCCUCUUCACUAUCCACACACUUUCCUGAAAUCUGAGAUUGGCGCUCAAACUAAGAGAGAAGAGAGUGAAAAAACUUCUUAUUACUCCCUGUUCCCAAAUCUUUUAAAUAUAAAAUCUGUGUUACAUUACUUAGUCAACUUAUAACACCCUCACUUUGCAGGAUAGGUAAAAGAAAAAAGUAGCAAAAUUUUUUGAAAUAGAAUCAUAAACUAAACAUUGCCUGGUUCAAUUUUUGAUUUAAGAGAACUUCUCUAUAAAAUACUUGUUAUGGAGUCAAGACUCUCUAGAAACCCCCAUACAAUUAUUUAACUUUUUUUUCAUGGGAAGCAAAUGGGAUUGACCAAACAUUAUUUUUUCCCCCUUAAAGAAGAAGCACGUGAUUUUAUCUGGGUGCACUUUCCCAGAAGAUAGUUCUUACAUAUAGUACCAAAAUAAAAGAACAUGUAAUUUUUAGAGACAUCCUUUGAAAACUGUCUUUCAUUAGAAAUAAUGUUAGUUUCAUUUAUGCCUCCUAAGGUGCCAAAUAUAGUAAGACAGUUGUAAUUCUUUAUCACCAUGGAUCCUGGAAAAAUUAGAAAUGGUGUCCAAUUACUUCAUUUUUGACCUUGUUAUGGCCCCUAGAAAACAUACAAAGACUCCUCUGCAAGGCGAAGACAUGCCUAUGUGUCUUCUCACCAGUCAUCAGAACAAUGUAGGUCUUAAAGCUAAAGUGGAUAAUACUUGUAAACUUGUAGGAAUCUCACCCUCAAGUAGAGAAUUUAUAGAAGUGAGAAAAUUGUCAUUUAUUGCUUUGUACUUUUUGUUUGUUUGUUUGUUUUUGGAGACAGUGUCUUGCUCGGUCGCUUAGGCUGGAGUGCAGUGGCACAAUCAGAGCUCACUGCAGCCUCAACCUCCCUGGGUCAAGUGAUCCUCCCAUCUGAGCCUCCCAAGUAGUUGGGAUUACAGGCACGUGCCACAUGUUCAGGUAAUUUUUUAAAACUUUUUGUGGAGAUGGGGUCUCACUAUGCUGUCAGGCUGGUCUGGGACUCCUAAACUCAAGCAAUCCUCCCACUUCAGCCUCCCAAAGUGCUGUGAUUACAGGCAUGAGCCACCACACCUGGCUGUUUUUUGCUUAUUCGAAAGGAAUAUAAAGUCAAUACAACAUGUUGUCUAAUACAAGGAGCAGAGGAGGCAGCCCCACAUUUCCAGAAAAUAAAACUAAAAUUUUCUCUUUUACAGAUAAACAAACACAGAGGAGAAGCCCAUAGUCCCCAGAACUCCUCAAGUCUAGUUGUCUAUAGUCUCUCAAUGACAAAGGAAAUAUUUUAUUUAAAAAUUGCCCAAAAUAUACCAAAAAUGUCAAUUUAUUCUGGAAAAAGCAGGUUUAAGCAAGAAAGCAUUUUACAUCUGAGAAGUUUUGUGUAACAUUUAAGUUUGCAUUAUUAUAAUGUCAGAAAAAAAUUGGUGAUCAUUAAUCUAUCUCAUAAGUCUACUUAUGUUUGUGAUACUCAUAGAGAUCAUAACUACCUUAGAUAUAUUAUUAAAUCUAUGAUUUUUUGUUUAGAUUCUCAACUUGC